CAAUCUAUUUUCUAGUGAAUAUGUUGCACUAUAGAUCAUUUGAAAUCGUGCAACUUGAUUGCUGAUUUGAGCUUCAUUGCAAUAUCUUUGAUUCAUGUUUAUACUAUAAUGCAUUGCUUGUUUACUAGUUGAUGGAUUUAUCGCCUUUGUUUUACAACACAUGUCCUCAAAUUGCUCCAGGUAAAAUUCAAAGCUCUCGAGAAAUAUAAAACAAAGGACAUGAAAAGCUUGAUGAGAUCAUUGUUAAAAAGGGAGAAGAGAUACAAAAUGUGCAUGUUUUUCUUGCAAUGGAAAGAGUUGUGUCUUAAUGCCUCGGGAGAGUGUUGCCGGUGAUGGAUCGGGAGUCAACUUGGGAGAAGUUGAUGAUCAAACGAUUAGGAGAUCAUACGGGAUACUUAGGCUAAAAAGUAACGCAUGUGGUGGUGAAGAUUCGAUAUGCAGAGGGAUUGUGUGCGUAUGAAAAGUGGAGUUAAAUUUGGAUAGGGUCUAAAUUUGAAAAGAUUGAAGUUUGAAUUGUAAAAAGAUAAGCUUUAUACUUGUAUGCGUAGGUUUUCUAUGGGAUUAGGAGUAUUUAUUUGAGUAGAAUUCGUGGUUUUUAGGAUACUAUCUUAUGAUAUAAAUAGAAGAGGGGCUGAGGCCUCUUGGUAUU